CUCAUUACGGCCCUGGCAAACGCUUUCCGUGCAUUGAUGCAGGCCUCCUAAGUCAGUUAUCUCGCCACUUCACAGCUCCUGCAGCCUCGCCAGGAUUCACAGCCGCCGCGAAAAGAUGCGCUAAUUGACACAGCCUGGGGGCACAGGUUCGGGAAUAUUCCUCUUUGUGUGCUAGCUGAGUGUUUUAAUGGGGCUCCGCACCCUGCCUGGACGCCAGCAUUGAUGCGGCGCUGGCUGAGACCCCUCUGCCGUCUUUCUCUUUUUGUCGCGAUGCGAUUCGGCAGAGGAGGCUGCUUUUUGUGAUUCCCGGAUACUAGAUUGAAUACAGCUCUGCACACGCCACGCAUCCGCCGCUCUGGAGACCUGAGGGCCCGCGGGAAACGCAGAUGCUGGGAGCAGACUGUCUGCAGCCUGGAAUAAAUGUAGAGAAGGUGUAGAGAGAGAGCGAGAGAGAGAAAGAGAGAGAGGGAGGCGAGUGAGUGAGAGAGCGAGCAAGGGAGGGAGAGAGAGAGAGACAGCGACGGAGAGAGGAGCAAAUUCAGCCCAGGACGGCGAAGAGGAAAUGCAUUCCCAGCCCGCCUCAGCUUCCCUCACCACUGGCACCGAGCACUGAGGCUUUCCACGGAGCUUUCUCCUUUUUUAUUUUUUUAUUCGUUUGUUGGUUUGUUUGCUCUCCCUCUCCGUAGUCCGCCGUCCGCCAGCGUCCCCGGAUGGCCGACUGAGGACACGCGCAGGGCGGCAGGAAAAUGAACUGGGAGGAGAAGUGGUGAAGCCUUCGCUUUGGAGUAACAGCUGCCUUUGAGAGCCGGAGAGACAUACAGGAUGGAGGUGAACGCAGAUGAGAAGCGACAUCGCACUCGCUCCAAAGGUAUCCGGGUGCCUGUGGAACCGGCAAUCCAAGAGCUCUUCAGCUGCCCGACGCCAGGCUGCGAUGGGAGCGGGCACGUCAGUGGCAAGUACGCGCGGCACCGAAG